rnacentral:lncRNA from 1 species
UUGACCCACUGGACUAAGAAGAUUAUAGUAGAAGAUGACUAUUCUGUUGUCCAGUUGGUUAAUAUACUACAGCUGGUAGUCAGACAUUUAAACAUUUACCCCAUCAGGCAUUAUCUUAUACAGCACAUGGUGAACUCCUUGCAGAGACUGGGCUUUACACAGAGUGGAUCAGGUGAUGCCACUCCAGGGUCUAUGAAGAGGGCUGGCACAGUUCACCCACCAGGCGAGGUGAAAAAGGCUAGAUACUCUUCUCUUUCCGUAGGAAGCCCAGGUCAAGCUGAAAAGUGAACAGAGAGUGGUUAACCUGUAGAGAAACAGUACUGUGAUGGGGUUGUGAAUAUCCUGCUGAAUUUAGUCUGCCAGGUGAGUGAGGUAGCAGGCUCACUAGGAGAGGUGCUGUGGAGGAGAUGUGUGGCACUCUUGAAAAUGGUCUUAAGACAGAUGUAUGGCUUGGUUUGAUAAACUUCUGAAUACUGUAGAAAGUCAGCAGCCAGAUUUCAACAACAUAUGUACAGCCUUGAGUUAUUGUGCUUCCUUCUAACUAUACUGUUAUUAGAAUACUUCUAUUCUAAUGGCUGUUAGCAUGAAACAACAUGGUUUUGUGAUGAAGACCCCUUCCAUGAAUCAAUCAAACACAUGU